GAGUUUGAUCUUGGCUCAGGAUGAACGCUGGCGGCGUGCCUAAUACAUGCAAGUCGAGCGAACAGACGAGGAGCUUGCUCCUCUGACGUUAGCGGCGGACGGGUGAGUAACACGUGGAUAACCUACCUAUAAGACUGGGAUAACUUCGGGAAACCGGAGCUAAUACCGGAUAAUAUAUUGAACCGCAUGGUUCAAUAGUGAAAGACGGUUUUGCUGUCACUUAUAGAUGGAUCCGCGCCGCAUUAGCUAGUUGGUAAGGUAACGGCUUACCAAGGCAACGAUGCGUAGCCGACCUGAGAGGGUGAUCGGCCACACUGGAACUGAGACACGGUCCAGACUCCUACGGGAGGCAGCAGUAGGGAAUCUUCCGCAAUGGGCGAAAGCCUGACGGAGCAACGCCGCGUGAGUGAUGAAGGUCUUCGGAUCGUAAAACUCUGUUAUUAGGGAAGAACAAAUGUGUAAGUAACUAUGCACGUCUUGACGGUACCUAAUCAGAAAGCCACGGCUAACUACGUGCCAG
rnacentral:rRNA from 1 species